CCUUAGAUGUCCUGGGCUGCACGCGCGUUACACUGACGGAGCCAGCGAGUUCUUCCUUGUCCGAAAGGUCCGGGUAAUCUUGUUAAACUCCGUCGUGCUGGGGAUAGAGCAUUGCAAUUAUUGCUCUUCAACGAGGAAUCCCUAGUAAGCGCAAGUCAUCAGCUUGCGUUGAUUACGUCCCUGCCCUUUGUACACACCGCCCGUCGCUACUACCGAUUGAAUGGCUUAGUGAGGCGUUCGGACUGGUCCAGGGAGGUGGGCAACUACCACCCAGGACCGGAAAGUUCUCCAAACUUGGUCAUUUAGAGGAAGUAAAAGUCGUAACAAGGUCUCCGUUGGUGAACCAGCGGAGGGAUCAUUA
rnacentral:rRNA from 1 species